CUAUAAAAACGCCACAUACUCCAUAUCAGUGCAUUUCUGAACGCAUUGUGCGUUUCUAAACUUAUAAAUUAUUUAUUCUGUUGUUUAUAACCGAUGCCACACAAUGUUACCAUUGAUAUUUUUACUCUCUACUGUUUUGCUCGUGGCCCCUGUUCAGCCAAAACCAAUUCACAACUUGAAUGAACCUCAUCUUAAAGCGGCCAAACGUAUCGGAUUCCUCGAAGAUGCUUUUGAACGACUUCAUUUGACUGAAUUAUCGGAAAUUCUUGAUGGCGGUAUCCACCAUCCUUUGAAUAUCAGUAGAAUCAAAGAAAGACAAGGCAGUCAGGUGGAAACAAUCCUACAUAUUCCUCUUGCUGAGUUGCAACUGAAAUUAUCAUUAAAGCAUCCAGAACAAAUAUUACAUGAAAAUGCAAAGAUCGUGGUUUCGAAUGGAGAGGAAGAGCAACACUUUAUAGUGGAACCAAGAAACUGUUAUCUGGUCGGUCGUAUCGAUGGCUAUAGUGGCAGUGCGUCAUUGUCUUACUGUAACGGUUUGAGAGGAUCAGUGGUGCUUGGUGAUACUGAAUACACUUUGGAACCAGUGGAUGAUGGAGCAAGACAUAUUGUUGGUGAACAUCGAAAGCAAGACAAGCAUUCAUUUGUGGAUAAAGUUAACGAAGCCUAUGCUUUUGAAGAUGACAAACGUGUGGUGACUGUUGAGAUGGCGUUGUACAACGAUGCAGAGAUGACCAAGAUGUUAGAUGCAAAAGGAUUUGACACCCUUCACAAGAAAAUCGAUUACAUCGUAUCAAAGUUUAAUGGGGUGCAAUAUGAAUACACAAAAAUUAAACAACUCAGACAUAAAGUGGUGUUUCAAAUUAAAAAAAUGGAAUUUUGGACAAAGAAUCCGAGCUGGUUUUUGGUGUCGAACAAACUGAACUCGAUGUUAAGUUCCCUUUGUAAAUGGAACGCAGACAAAGAACCUUUUGAUCUCGUUUAUCUCAUUACAGGGCAUAGACCAAUCUAUCCCAUUGGACUUGCAUUUGUAGGUGGAGCAUGCAGGCCAAAAUCUCGAUGUGGUGUUUCUAUGGGAACAGCAUGGGGAAGAUACGUUGCCAUCGCUCACGAAAUAGGACACAUUUUGGGGAUGCCUCAUGAUGCCAAUACUCCGUGUAGUUCAUACCCGAGUGUCCACAAAGGAUUGAUGGGUGGCAAAGGAACAGAUUUCAGCAAUUGUUCUGCAGAAAGAUUUGAAAAGAAAAUCUUAAGCAAAAGUGGGCACUGUCUCUUUGUACAAAAUAUUCCAGACGAUAAAGUCCCAAAAGAACUUAAAGGUCUCGUUCUUAAAGGUCUUCCAGAAGUGAUCAAUGUCACUCAUCAUGAAUAUUGUGAGAAAAAUGCCGGCAUAGGCUUUCGUUACCGCGAAAAGGAAAACUUGAAGUAUUCUUGCAAUAGCGGAUACUACUGUGUUAAACUGAAAGAAGGACCUGGGUUUGGUUUGAUAACUAGAGAAUCUGCACAAGGUAUUGUCGGAACGUAUUGCGCCCCAGGAAAGGUUUGUUUAAAGAAACAAUGUCUAACCUACAAACUGAUGCAUCUGACCAAACCCUGGAUUGUUCGUGCUGGUGGAUGGGGAGACUGGUCAUCUUAUACCAAAUGCAGCCGAACUUGUGGCACCGGAGUGCAGUUUUCAUUCCGCGAUUGUAACAAUCCUAAACCCAUCCAAUCAAAAUAUUGUGACGGUAGUGAAUACAAAGCUAAAUUAUGUAAUGAACAACCAUGUCCUAGUGAUCCAAGCUCUUACGAUGCUAUAAGGAAAACCAGAGCUGGUGAAACUUGCAAACGCUUGAUCAACGAUGGUUCAUUAAACGCUACAAUAUAUAAGCCAACUGGAAGGGCUUAUGGUGGUAAAGGUUACAACGACGAUUGCGAUGUUCACUGCGACAACAGCAAGCAUAGAAACAGCCGUAACGCUAUCUUACCUGACGGGACGCCAUGUAAACAUCCUGAUCCGGAAUUCAAUGUAGCUGGUGCGGCUAACUUAAAGCUGCACUGUUUCAGAGGAAAGUGUCAGGCAUUUGGAUGCGAUUCCAGAUUUCCAGCGCAACAUCAUGGCAAUGAUCCUCUUUGCAGUGUACCAGUGAGUUUAAAAUAAACGCAUGCAAAAUUGCUAGGAACAGCAAAGAAGAGAAAAGGAAGAGAGAGAGGGAAAGAAAGAAAGAGAGAGAGA
rnacentral:misc_RNA from 1 species